UACGGGGGGGGCAAGCGUUGUUCGGAAUUACUGGGCGUAAAGGGCUCGUAGGUGGCCAACUAAGUCAGACGUGAAAUCCCUCGGCUUAACCGGGGAACUGCAUCUGAUACUGGAUGGCUUGAGAUUGGGAGAGGGAUGCGGAAUUCCAGGUGUAGCGGUGAAAUGCGUAGAUAUCUGGAGGAACACCGGUGGCGAAGGCGGCAUCCUGGACCAACACUGACGCUGAGGAGCGAAAGCCAGGGGAGCAAACAGG
rnacentral:rRNA from 1 species